rnacentral:lncRNA from 1 species
ACUCAAGCCCUGCCCAGGAAUCCGGCGGCGUCCCGCCCUGUUUCCUCCUCUCUGGGCUGCAGAAGGAGCCAGAACCCUGAAUUUGAAAAUCACUUUGCUACCCUAACAACCCAAAGGAAAAGUUAGUGCCUUCCUGAUAGCAGGAGACAGAUAAGCCCACUUAGGAGACGGAGGCUAACGAAAAAGGAGCAUCGGAUGGGUGUAUGACGUGAAAUGAGUCCUUAAGAAAUAGAGAUGCUGUUAUGACAUGAUCAAUAAGAGAGCUCGAUUGUGUGAAGUGCUGCCACGCUGAAUCUCUCAACUAAGUCUAUUAUUAUGCUGAUGAUAUUAAUGAAAAGUAAUUUGCUGCUCCUCUUUUUAAAGAGAAAGGCUCUUAAUAUUAUUUAGCGGGUGAACCAAGGCAAACGACUUCUUGGAAUUAGAGGAAUGUCGCAGAUAUUUAUUUGUCUGCGCUAUAUACUAGCAAUAGUAAACAGUGUUUAGCAGGGCUUAUUGACUAAUCCUUCCAAAAUCCUGUGAGGCUAUUCUCAUCCCCGUUUAUCUCCAUUUCACAAAUUGAAAAACUAAGACACUGAGAGGUUAAAUAACUUGCUAGAGAACCAGGGUUUGGACCCAAGAAAUGUGGCUCCAAAGUAUUACUGUAUACUGCCUCUGAAGUUCCAAAUGUCUAAAUCUCUAGUUCUGACUUCUUUCCGGAGCUGAGGUACUUACUACAACCUUAAUAUUUCCACAUGGCUGUUCCACUCUCACCUCAAAAGGAACAGAUAUGAAACCAAAUUUAAGAUAAUGCCAGAAAACACACGAGGUACAACAAUUAACUGUUAUUGCAUAUAAGGAAAUAGAGGCCCAGACAGAAGUGGUUUAUGGAAGGACUGGAUGAAAACCAAAAGGAGAAAAGCAUGCACUGUCUUAGUUACUUCCUUCUGCUACCUGGACACUGGUACUGGCCUUAUGUCAAUUAACUCUUUAGAGUUUAUUUCUGCCCCUCUACAAAGAAAUUAAUUUCAGUUGUCUUUUUCAACAUCUGGAAGAUUUCUAGUCAAUCUUUGUUUUGUAAUAAGGGAACCACCACAAGGAUUCAAAUUUGCUACAGCCAAACUUCGGAUUUUGCCCAAGAAGGACAUUGUGCAAGUACAAGUUCUCUGGACUAGAAAUUACCUAGAGAUGGUUCAAGUUCCCCAAAUCAAAAACUAAACUGAAACUAAGUUGCACUGUAGCAGAGGGGAGAGGAGAGAAGGAAGUUCACUAUGGCCUUUCUGUAACCGUGUGAGGGGACUGUGGGAAUCUGGAAGUUUCUGCCUCUACUUCCUUUCCAUCCCUGUGAUCAAGAGUCACCCUGUAACUACAGCUAUGCAUUAGGCGACAUUGUAUAAAUGAAUUAUUUAUUUUAGAAGCCUCUAUUCUAAAGGCCUUUAGUCUUGUGAAAAUAAUUAUGCUCUUUGACAUUUCAUAUGGCUCACUAAAUUUGCAUGGCAAGGCUUACUGCCUUCUCCAGUCUCCCACCUAUUUUUCAUUUUUCUCUAGCAUGCCGUUAAAGUAAGGAUGCCAAAGAAACUGUCUCCAUUGAAUCCAAGAAGAAUUUCUCUAAUGAUGAAAGCCUUCAAGUGAUUUUUUAUAUCUUACUUUUUAUUUGAAAUAAUUAUAAAUUCACAGGAAGUUGCAAAGAUAGUUCAGAGUGGUCUCAUGUACUCUUCACCCAGUUUCC